GGCGGCCAAUGUGUCCGCACUUGUCGGCCUCCCCAGGUGACUCGCGGCCCCGGCAAACGAGCUGCGAGGGAGCGAGCGCGCCCCAGAUGCCUAGACGUAGAUAAACCAGGGCUUGUUUAAAGGCCACGCGUGUCAUCAGGGACCCAGGCUCUUGCCAGCUUGUUGCUCCGCCUUCUCUUCACCUCAGAGUCCUCGAAGGCUGCUGGAGGCCUGCCAUCACCGUUGCUCUCCAGGCUGCUGGGUAGAAGGAGGACC